rnacentral:other from 1 species
CGGGUACUGCCCGAUGCGUGAGAGGUUCCAUUCCAGUGGCCUUACAUUUUCGAAAGGGAGCUGGCUCUGCGACUGGUCGUGGCCUAUCGCACCCGGUGCCCACCUGGUUGUCCAGGCUCUCGGGAAUGACCCAACCUCCACGGUCGUCCUUGCGGUCCCGCC